CCUGCCCCUAGAAGUGCUGAAGGCUUGGCUGCUGUGUCACUUGGAUGUCAGUAGGUGGCAGAGAAAAGAGAAGCCAUGUCCAUGCUCAGUGUUCUGACCUAUGGACUUCUGAAGGAUUAGAAGCCUAAAAAA